ACAUCAUGUUGAAAUACCGGUUCCCGUAUGAUCACUAAAGUUAAGCAUAAUUGACACUGGUCAGUAUCUAGAGGGGCGACCGCUUGGGAUAACCAGGCGCUGUAAG